AGAGCGCAGGCAGCGCGCAGGCAGAGCGCAGGCAGCGCGCGAAGCGCCAGGGCAGCAGCAGCAGCACCGCCGGGAGCCGCGCUCUGUUCUCCCCUCCCUGGUGAAUUCCAGCCUCAAGGACGGGGGAAUCGGGGGGACGAACGCGGAGCCAGUAAAGGCAGGAGAACCCGCGGCGUCUCUUUAGGUACCUGCUGCCUCACCAUGAAGCUCCUGACAGCAGCGCUGCUUCUGCUGUUCAUCGUGAUGUGCUUGGCCAGCGCAGAAGGCGUGAAGUGCAAGUGUUCAAGGAAAGGUCCUAAAAUAAGAUUCUCUAAUGUAAGGAAGCUGGAAAUAAAACCGAGGUACCCAUUCUGCGUGGAAGAGAUGAUUAUGUAAGUUUUCCUUCAUUUACUGCUUUCUCUUUCCCUGUCAGCUGAAUUGCUUUACCUUAUACUGCGUGUUCUUUCUUUGUUCUUUGUUUUCCUCAUGCCCUGGCAUGCUAAUUUCUAGGAAUAGUCAUUUGCUGAAUCAGAUGCAAUCAAUUAUGCAAUUCUGACCAAAAUCCCAGCAAUCAGUUUUUGAAACAAUAUUCUUUUUGCUCAAAGAAAUAUUUAUAGAACAGGAGGCACUAAAAGGAUAAUCCUUAGUUCAGCUGAAGAUAGUGACGAAUCCUACUCCGUGCUGCCUGAUGUAAACCCCAGAACUAUUUAUUCAAGUUUUCCUGGUCAUGCAGAAUAAAAGCAGAAACAGUUUGGGCCAUGGUGGUUUCUGCGAGGAAGAAGUUAUCCCAAGCAGAGGCAGAUUUUUGCCUGUGCUGUACCAGAGCCACCCUCUUGCAUUUGAUGGGAUUACCAAGCAUGUAAGAAAACAUUUUUCUCCCCAUCUCACUGCAAGCUGUGACCAUUGCUGCCUUGAGAUCCGAAAAGUGAUGUAGUGACCAACCGAACAGAGGCAGGCACGGGGAUUUCUGACAUCAGAUGGCUGGUUCAAAGGAAGGGUUUUUAGAUUUUAAAUAUGGGUAUUUUGUGGAUUUUGUUUCUGUCCAGUUAUGUAUAUAUCUUAAUAUUACCCCAACAAAGCACCAUCCAACAGGCACACGGGGCUGGAUAAGGACCGGAAGGGCACAUUAGCUAAGCAGAUCGCACUAAGCCCCUCUGGUACCUAAAAGGGGGAAAAAGGGUCCCUAAAGCAGCCACGGCCCCAGAGCUCCAAGGUGUGAUUUACUGCAGUGGUUUUGCUCCCCCGCUGAAUGUUUGCCAUCCACUUAAUCUUAGAAAGGUGCUUUAACAGCAGGAUCUGAGUCCUGUCCUGCCACGUACCACCUCCGGCACUCUGUAUUGCUCCCAGGGCUAAAUCCAACCUACCAAACUGGCACAGGCAAGAAGAUACCACAGGAGCCUGAUCCUGCCCAUGCAGAAAUGCCUCACCAGGCUUGGCAGAGGGUGUACGGAGGAGGAACAGAUAGCCAAGCUUCCUUAUGCUUCCUCCAGAUUUACAACAGCAUCGCUGUGAGCAGUGCUCAGCUCAGGGAACAUCAGAGCCACCUCUUUGAAGCCCAAAUGAGCUGGUGGUGACCAAACACUUGCAGAGCACUGCUGCCUAAAUCAGUUCCUCGCAGCUUUACUUUGACCUUUCAAUAGCAAAAGGAUGGUGUAGAGAGCACUAAUUCUUCACGUCCCGCUCCAGGCUUGUGCCCGAAAGCAGCUGGUGGCUGGGAAGUAUAAAAUAAAUCUCAUUAAUGCAAUAUUUCACUUCCAACCAGAAAGUCAGGAAAGCCGGAAUGCCGUGCCGAGCAGUUGCUUUCCCAGGUGGAUAGUUAUGCCAAUACCAAGCUAUGUUAUUCAAGCCUGGAGGGGUUUUGCUGCAGGGACAGAGCUGUCCCGUCGCUGCUGCUGCCUGCAGGGCAGGGAGGGUGAGCCCGCUGCUGUCACUGCCCUUACAGCUCCCCUAAUGCAGUCUGAAGUCAGCAUUGAAAACAAACUGAAACUAAUAUUCCAAGAACAAAUUGAUCCAGGAGUCUCUGGACAAGGCACAGAGGAGCUAAAUUCCUGCAACUGAGUUUUCGUUGCUGCAGUGAUCAUUUAAAAUGAGUUGUUGAAGCUGGGUCCCCUCCUGCCCUCGUCAGAAACUCUCAUAUCUUUGCAUAUAGCAGAAACAUGAUAUAAAUUAUGUUUGCAAAGUAGUAGGUGUGAGGGUGCAGUUUAGGAAGCCUAUGGAUGAGAUACAUGGGGGCACGAGGUGCUGGGGGUCACAGACUGACCCAGGGGUGCUCAUCACAGCUCUGAAGGCAUGGACAUACUCAGGAGGAUUUAGUCCCUUCUCCAUCCCUCUCAACCUCUGCUUGCAGGCCAUUGAGGCAACUCCUCACUUAGGGCAUCAGCUCCCACAGCUGCUUAGGCAUGUUCCCUCACAUCCACUGGACCAGCACUCCCAGGAGCAGGGCCAGGUCAGCUCAGGGUACCCAAAAAUGCAACCAUCCAUCCACAGCAUCAAAAACUAUGCAGGAACUACAGAGGACCAAGGGGCUGCCUUGGAAACACCUCCUCUGCUGUCCAGGCACCAGCAUCAAAGCAGAAAACCUACAUGUGAUGUCAAAGCAAUGCAUCUCAGCCUGAGAAAAGGCCCAGAUCACUUGAGAAGCAAAAUGUGCAUCAUCUUCUCCUCAGACCGCAGGCUCUAGUAAAUCCAGAAUUGUCCUUUAACUGCUUCUAGUGCCAAUGUAGAGCUUGCUGUAUUUCAGAGGUGCUCCUGCUCCUCUCCUCCUGCAAAUCGGCUUGUCCAUCGCUUUCUGGAAAUACCCUCUGUGGUCUGUCAGAAGAGAAACCCAAGCUGAGGUCUGGCGUCAGACAGUGCAACCCAGAACAUGGCUAGUGAAUGGAGAAACUUUGCACCGACCUCAAGUCCCUUAAAACUGGCAUACCAUGGAUUUCACUCCCACUGAAAGCUACAAGAAAAAUCACCUUCUCACACAUGUACUGAUCUCCAGAGGCUGAGAACAUCCUUAGAACAGAGAUAGUCCACAGAUUUUAGAAGUAAUCCUUCCCUUUCCGAUGCCUGCAGCCAGAGAGUCUCUUUGGAAUUCUUCCACUGCUUGCCUAUGCAUUGGGGAAAAAGCUACAUCCUCCCCAAAAACCAACCUGAAAAUUACACCUUAUCUGUUCGUGACUUUAGCUUACACCCAAUAGAGGUAGAGCAGAAAAGGGAGUAGGCAGGAAGGGUAACUGAAUGGAAAGAACUAUCCGAACACCUUGUAUAACUUUGAAAUGGUGGCGAGACCUUUAAGUGAGCUCAUGCAGGCAACAAAAAAAGCUGGUCUGGGGCACACAGGCACUCUGCUAUGUGCAAGUGUUUAAAAUACUGUGGACUUAAAAAAAAAAAGAGAAAUAAGCAAUCAAUGAAGCAGGUGUGAUCUUUUCUUUUGGAUGCCGUAUUGGUGAGCAUGAAGGAAUCUUAUCCUCAUGCAAAGACCAUGUGGUUGUCUGAAUGAGCCCUAAUUAAUUCAGCUAUUAAGUUUAAAGACAAUAUCUGACAGGCAGAGCAAACCCAUCGAUUAGAAACAGCAUGUAAGUCUUCCCGUGGAAGAACUAAGUAUAAUGGUGGACAAUAUUGCACUGCACUGAUUGAUGGUAGCUAAAUAUCUGCUCCGGUGUUAUUACAACGAACUGAAGUAUCUGCUAUAAAACAAAGAGCAUGUAAAUCACUGCCCACUUGGGUGAGAGCCCCCUGACUGAUUUGGGCAUUUGCCUGGAGUGGGAGCAGAGGGACAGCAUUCCCAUGUUCUUCCCUGUGAGGGUGCUGAGGCGCUGGCACAGGGUGCCCAGAGAAGCUGUGGCUGCCCCAUCCCUGGCAGUGUUCAAGGCCAGGUUGGACACAGGGGCUUGGAGCAGCCUGCUCUAGGGGAAGUCGUCCCUGCCCAUGACAGGGGUUGGAACUGAGUGAGCUUUAAAGUCUCUUCUAACCCAAACCAUUCCAUAAUUCUAUGACUCCAGUAACUGUGCUGUCUUGCAUUGCAGCGUGACUCUGUGGACACGGGUGAGGGGCGAGCAGCAGCACUGCUUAAACCCCAAACGCCAAAACACAGUGAGACUGCUCAAGUGGUACAGAGUAUGGAAAGAGAAAGGCAGGUAAGUACAGAUUUCCUGAAUGGGUGAGAGGAAAGUCUCGGGAACAACUUGGGCAAUCAGCAGCAUUCAGAGAGAGGCCAGGAAAAUGCACACCCUGCAAAUGCUCCAGCCAGCACGGAGGAUGUAUUUCAUUACCAAAAUUACAGUUAGAAAUUAACAUUCUUGAUGUUAUUUCUUUCCUGCCACAUGCUGCCUCACUUCUAUUUUAGGAUUAGGCUGUUCCAACUAUUAAAAGUAAUUAUUUUCUGUUAAACUAUUCAUCA
rnacentral:lncRNA from 1 species